rnacentral:rRNA from 1 species
CCUACGGGAGGCAGCAGUGGGGAAUCUUGCGCAAUGGACGAAAGUCUGACGCAGCCAUGCCGCGUGAAUGAUGAAGGUCUUAGGAUUGUAAAGUUCUUUAGCCUGUGACGAUGAUGACGGUAACAGGAGAAUAAGCCCCGGCUAACUUCGUGCCAGCAGCCGCGGUAAUACGAAGGGGGCUAGCGUUGUUCGGAAUUACUGGGCGUAAAGCGCGCGUAGGCGGUUAUGCAAGCCAGAGGUGAAAUGCCUGAGCUCAACUUAGGAAUUGCCUUUGGAACUGCAUGGCUUUGAGGACGAGAGAGGUGAGUGGAAUUCCCAGUGUAGAGGUGAAAUUCGUAGAUAUUGGGAAGAACACCGGUGGCGAAGGCGGCUCACUGGCUCGUUUCUGACGCUGUAGCGCGAAAGCGUGGGGAUCAAACAGGAUUAGAUACCCUGGUAGUCCACGCUGUAAACGAUGAGUGCUAGGCGUUGGCACGCUUGCGUGUCAGUGCCGCNGCGNGCGCGNGAGCGACGCCGCCGUGGGUAGGUACGGUUCGCGAGAGUUAAACGUACAAGAGAGUGACGGCGNGAGAGNGCGACGGCGACGACGAGGGAGGAGG